rnacentral:rRNA from 1 species
GACGAACGCUGGCGGCGGGCCUAAAACAGGCAAGUAGAACGUUAAGGGGAGGAGUUUCCCUUCUUUGGUGAGGUGCGAACGGGGUGGGAACCGGGUGGUAACCUGCCCUGGAGGGGGGGGAAAAUUUUGGAAAAGGAAACUAAAAACCCAAAAAAAUGGGUUACACCAGUCAUUUUAUUGAAAGGGGCAAUUGCCCCCAUAAAAGGUGGAACUGCGUUGUAUUAGCUAGUAGGUGAGGGAAUGGCUCAACUAGGCGACGAUACAUAGCCGACCUGAGAGGGUGAUCGGCCACACUGGGACUGAGACACGGCCCAGACUCCUACGGGAGGCAGCAGUAGGGAAUCUUCGGCAAUGGGGGCAACCCUGACCGAGCAACGCCGCGUGAGUGAAGAAGGGUUUCGGAUCGGAAAGCUCUGUUGUAAGUCAAGAACGGGUGUGAGAGUGGAAAGUUCACACUGUGACGGUAGCUUACCAGAAAGAGACGGCUAACUACGUG